CCUACGGGAGGCAGCAGUAAGGAAUAUUGGUCAAUGGACGAAAGUCUGAACCAGCCAUGCCGCGUGAAGGAUUAAGGCCCUCUGGGUUGUAAACUUCUUUUAUCUGGGACGAAAAAAGGGUAUUCUUACUCACUUGACGGUACCAGAGGAAUAAGCACCGGCUAACUCCGUGCCAGCAGCCGCGGUAAUACGGAGGGUGCAAGCGUUAUCCGGAUUUACUGGGUUUAAAGGGUGCGUAGGUGGGCUUGUAAGUCAGUGGUGAAAUCUCCGGGCUUAACCCGGAAACUGCCAUUGAUACUAUAGGUCUUGAAUUAUCUGGAGGUAAGCGGAAUAUGUCAUGUAGCGGUGAAAUGCUUAGAUAUGACAUAGAACACCAAUUGCGAAGGCAGCUUACUACGGAUAUAUUGACACUGAGGCACGAAAGCGUGGGGAUCAAACAGGAUUAGAUACCCUGGUAGUCCACGCCCUAAACGAUGGAUACUCGACAUCAGCGAUACACUGUUGGUGUCUGAGCGAAAGCAUUAAGAUCCACCUGGAAGUACGAUCGCAAGAUUGAAACUUCAAAGGAAUUGACGGCUUGAGACGNGCGAGAGACACGAGGAGAG
rnacentral:rRNA from 1 species